rnacentral:rRNA from 1 species
ACUCCUACGGGAGGCAGCAGUGGGGAAUAUUGGACAAUGGGCGCAAGCCUGAUCCAGCCAUGCCGCGUGAGUGAUGAAGGCCCUAGGGUUGUAAAGCUCUUUCACCGGUGAAGAUAAUGACGGUAACCGGAGAAGAAGCCCCGGCUAACUUCGUGCCAGCAGCCGCGGUAAUACGAAGGGGGCUAGCGUUGUUCGGAUUUACUGGGCGUAAAGCGCACGUAGGCGGACUAUUAAGUCAGGGGUGAAAUCCCGGGGCUCAACCCCGGAACUGCCUUUGAUACUGGUAGUCUUGAGUUCGAGAGAGGUGAGUGGAAUUCCGAGUGUAGAGGUGAAAUUCGUAGAUAUUCGGAGGAACACCAGUGGCGAAGGCGGCUCACUGGCUCGAUACUGACGCUGAGGUGCGAAAGCGUGGGGAGCAAACAGGAUUAGAUACCCGAGUAGUACCAUGAU